rnacentral:rRNA from 1 species
AGUGAACGCUGGCGGUAGGCCUAACACAUGCAAGUCGAACGGCAGCACAGUAAGAGCUUGCUCUUACGGGUGGCGAGUGGCGGACGGGUGAGGAAUACAUCGGAAUCUACUUUUUCGUGGGGGAUAACGUAGGGAAACUUACGCUAAUACCGCAUACGACCUACGGGUGAAAGCAGGGGAUCUUCGGACCUUGCGCGGUUGAAUGAGCCGAUGUCGGAUUAGCUAGUUGGCGGGGUGAAGGCCCACCAAGGCGACGAUCCGUAGCUGGUCUGAGAGGAUGAUCAGCCACACUGGAACUGAGACACGGUCCAGACUCCUACGGGAGGCAGCAGUGGGGAAUUUUGGACAAUGGGCGCAAGCCUGAUCCAGCCAUACCGCGUGGGUGAAGAAGGCCUUCGGGUUGUAAAGCCCUUUUGUUGGGAAAGAAAAGCAGCAGGUUAAUACCCCGCUGUUCUGACGGUACCCAAAGAAUAAGCACCGGCUAACUUCGUG